ACUAAUUAGUGUUAACUGUUCUGUGGUCAUAAAGCACACUCCCCUGUCAGGCUGACAACAGCCUGCUUGGCGAUAAUAAAUGAACCCAGGUGUUAUAUCUGGCCAAAUCUGAAUAUGCUGCAACAUGUUUCAGAGAGUUAUCGACCAGUGUAAUUAUCAGUUGUGCCAAAUAUUCAUAGCCAAUACAACAUUUAUUUUGAUAUUUUAUAUUUAUAAAACAGAUUGAGAACCAAAAUGACUUUUCAUAUUCCAUCACUGAGAAAGAAACAUGAUGUUUAAUGAACCAGUGCACAGAUGGAUAAUAUGUUUGAAGUAGAUCAAUGCAAAAUUCAUGUUGAUAAGACUUUAAGUUGGGACAUUUUGGUAUUUAAUAUUUAUCAACCACAGGAUACUACAUCUAAUUAAUUCAUUUAAUUAUAUAAUUUAAGUUCAACACUCCACUAGCAAAUAUCAUGCUGGAUACUCAUGCUGAUAGUCCUGUAAAGUUGUUUAUUAAAAAAAUUGUUUUUUUAACUUACUGAUUAGUAACAUG